GACGAACGCUGGCGGCGUGCUUAACACAUGCAAGUCGAGCGGUAAGGCCCUUUCGGGGGUACACGAGCGGCGAACGGGUGAGUAACACGUGGGUGACCUGCCCUCAGCUCUGGGAUAAGCCUGGGAAACUGGGUCUAAUACUGGAUAUGACUCCACGGUGCAUGUCGUGGGGUGGAAAGCCUUGUGCGGCUGAGGAUGGGCCCGCGGCCUAUCAGCUUGUUGGUGGGGUGAGGCCUACCAAGGCGACGACGGGUAGCCGGCCUGAGAGGGCGACCGGCCACACUGGGACUGAGAUACGGCCCAGACUCCUACGGGAGGCAGCAGUGGGGAAUCUUGCGCAAUGGGCGAAAGCCUGACGCAGCGACGCCGCGUGAGGGAUGACGGCCU
rnacentral:rRNA from 1 species